UGGGUAACCUGCCUCAAAGAGGGGAAUAGCCUCCCGAAAGGGAGAUUAAUACCGCAUAAUAUGUUUAAGUCGCAUGACUUUAACAUCAAUGGAUUUUCUUUUAGAAAUUCCACUUUGAGAUGGACCCGCGGCGCAUUAGCUAGUUGGUGAGGUAACGGCUCACCAAGGCAACGAUGCGUAGCCCG
rnacentral:rRNA from 1 species